AUUGAACGCUGGCGGCAUGCCUUACACAUGCAAGUCGAACGGCAGCACGGGUGCUUGCACCUGGUGGCGAGUGGCAAACGGGUGAGUAAUAUAUCGGAACGUACCUUAUUGUGGGGGAUAACGCAGCGAAAGCUGUGCCAAUACCGCAUAAUCCCCAAGGGGGAAAGCGGGGGACCGUAAGGCCUCGCGCAAUUAGAGCGGCCGAUACCUGAUUAGCUAGUUGGUGAGGUAAAGGCUCACCAAGGCAACGAUCAGUAGCUGGUCUGAGAGGACGAUCAGCCACACUGGGACUGAGACACGGCCCAGACUCCUACGGGAGGCAGCAGUGGGGAAUUUUGGACAAUGGGGGCAACCCUGAUCCAGCAAUGCCGCGUGAGUGAAGAAGGCCUUCGGGUUGUAAAGCUCUUUUGUCAGGGAAGAAACAGCAGCUCUAACACAGUUUGCGAAUGACGGUACCUGAAGAAUAAGCACCGGCUAACUACGUGCCAGCAGCCGCGGUAA
rnacentral:rRNA from 1 species